rnacentral:lncRNA from 1 species
AUGAGGUAAUCUCUUACCCUGCCUUACACACAUCAAAUGCACGUGUUUGUUAGGUAUUUUGCCACCAACCUCAGUGGUCAGCAAGCUUCACCUCAUAAUUUUUCAGAGUGCCCCUGCAGACAACUGGAUCCCUAAACACCAGGCUUACUGGAGACACGCACAGGAGACAGAGACAGGACACAUGAAGGCUGCUUACCCCUCAUCACAGCUCGCCCUCCAGGGCUCAGGAGGGCACAGAAGCAGAGGGCCAAGAAGCAUGCGAGGCGCCUGGGGGCAGGCAGGCUGGGAAGAGUCACAGAGCUGCUUCUUCACCUGCCUCAAAGCACCAAAUCACUGCCUUCACCUUCAACAGCACUGGUAAGAGACCAGAUUGCAGAGACUGGAACAGACCAUGUCUCCAACUUCCAUUCCUGCCAAAAGCGUCCUCACUGUCCACACCACCCACACCCAUUCCCCCACCCCAACUUCUAUUAUGUUGUUUGUUUGUUAUUUGGAUAUUUUUGGCCUUGCUACACAGCUUGUGGGAUCUUAAUUCCCCAACCAGAUACUGAACCUUGGCCCUCAGCAGUGAAAGCAGAGUCCUAACCAUUGGCCCACCGGGGAAUUUCCCCCCUCCUCCUAGCCUCUAGUCCCACUGCCCUUUCCCACUUGACUUCCACAACACACACACACUAGACGCAUGCAUCUGUGCUCAUUCAUUCACUCAAUAACGCUAGCUGAGCACCCACUACAUGCCAGGCCUUAUUCCAGCCACUGUGGACACCACAGAACAAAGUCCCUCCCCAUGCAGUGAUGACAUUCCACUAGAAACAAGCAAAUUCAUAUGUCAGGUAGUCAUACAUAGCCUUUCUCAACAGGAGUUCAACUGAAGUCAGAAACUGGAAUGACUAUAUUCUCAAUUCUGAAGCAAGUGAGAGAGCAAGCCACGUGAAUACAGCGAAGAGGUUUUAGGCAGAGCAAAGAGCAAGUAGAAAGCCCUGAAGCAGCGAAGUGUUUGGUGCAAGCA